CACCUGAGAAAGACUUAACUAUUACGUUUCUGUCAGUGUUGGAUACUUCCCAACCUUUUACAUAUUUUAUAAUCGAAUCUCCAGCUAUAACGACCGUUUCUUUAGUGCGUUGUCUUUCUGCUGUUAUUUCCUCACUUGCCUUAUGCGCUUCUCUUGUUUGCUCAUUUUCCUUUGCCUUUUGUUCGUUAUUCUUCACCUUUUGUUUCUUAUUCUUAUUCUUCUUAUGCUUUUGUUCCUGAUUAAUCUGCUGUGACCUCUGCUUGUUGGCUUUCGAUUGAGCAGCUUUG